GACGAACGCUGGCGGCGUGCUUAACACAUGCAAGUCGAACGAAGUGGCGAACGGGUGAGUAACGCGUAAUCAACCUGCCCUUCAGAGGGGGACAACAGUUGGAAACGACUGCUAAUACCGCAUACUGAAGGAGGGGAUUGCGUCUGAUUAGCUAGUUGGAGGGGUAACGGCCCACCAAGGCGAUGAUCAGUAGCCGGGCGGAGAGGAUGAACGGCCACAUUGGGACUGGGAAAAGGCCCAGACUCCUACUGGAGGCAGCAGGGGGGAAUCUUCCGCAAUGGAGGAAAGUCUGACGGAGGAACGCCGGGGUGGUGAUGACGGCCUUCGGGGUGUAAAGCGCUGUUAAUCGGGACGCGGUACCGGAAUAGAAAGCCACGGCUAACUACGUGCCAGCCGCCGCGGUAAUAC
rnacentral:rRNA from 1 species